UGGGGAAUUUUGCACAAUGGGGGAAACCCUGAUGCAGCGACGCCGCGUGAUUUAGAAGGCCUUCGGGUUGUAAAAAUCUUUUGUAUGGGAAGAAAAUGACAGUACCAUACGAAUAAGGACCGGCUAAUUACGUGCCAGCAGCCGCGGUAAUACGUAAGGUCCGAGCGUUGUCCGGAAUCAUUGGGCGUAAAGGGUACGUAGGCGGAUAAGCAAGUUAGAAGUGAAAUCCUAUAGCUCAACUAUAGUAAGCUUUUAAAACUGCUCAUCUUGAGGUAUGGAAGGGAAAGUGGAAUUCCUAGUGUAGCGGUGAAAUGCGCAGAUAUUAGGAGGAAUACCGGUGGCGAAGGCGACUUUCUGGACUUGAACUGACGCUGAGGCACGAAAGCGUGGGGAGCAAACAGG
rnacentral:rRNA from 1 species